rnacentral:rRNA from 1 species
CUUUCCUACGGGGGGCAGCAGUAGGGAAUCUUCCACAAUGGGCGAAAGCCUGAUGGAGCAACGCCGCGUGGGUGAAGAAGGUCUUCGGAUCGUAAAACCCUGUUGUUAGAGAAGAAAGUGCGUGAGAGUAACUGUUCACGUUUCGACGGUAUCUAACCAGAAAGCCACGGCGAACUACGUGCCAGCAGCCGCGGGAAUACGUAGGUGGCAAGCGUUAUCCGGAUGUAUUGGGCGUACAGGGAACGCAGG